rnacentral:rRNA from 1 species
AGUGAACGCUGGCGGUAGGCCUAACACAUGCAAGUCGAACGGCAGCACAGUAAGAGCUUGCUCUUACGGGUGGCGAGUGGCGGACGGGUGAGGAAUACAUCGGAAUCUACUUUUUCGUGGGGGAUAACGUAGGGAAACUUACGCUAAUACCGCAUGCGACCUACGGGUGAAAGCAGGGGAUCUUCGGACCUUGCGCGAUUGAAUGAGCCGAUGUCGGAUUAGCUAGUUGGCGGGGUAAAGGCCCACCAAGGCGACGAUCCGUAGCUGGUCUGAGAGGAUGAUCAGCCACACUGGAACUGAGACACGGUCCAGACUCCUACGGGAGGCAGCAGUGGGGAAUAUUGGACAAUGGGCGCAAGCCUGAUCCAGCCAUACCGCGUGGGUGAAGAAGGCCUUCGGGUUGUAAAGCCCUUUUGUUGGGAAAGAAAAGCAGCAGGUUAAUACCCCGCUGUUCUGACGGUACCCAAAGAAUAAGCACCGGCUAACUUUGUG